rnacentral:rRNA from 1 species
AACGAACGCUGGCGGCGCGCCUAAUACAUGCAAGUCGAGCGAGAAGACGUAGCAAUACGUUUGUAAAGCGGCGAACGGGUGAGGAAUACAUGGGUAACCUACCCUCGAGUGGGGAAUAACUAGCCGAAAGGUUAGCUAAUACCGCGUACGCUCCUUGGACUUCGGUUCAGGGAGGAAAGCGAUACCGUGGGUAUCGCGCUCUUGGAUGGGCUCAUGUCCUAUCAGCUUGUUGGUGAGGAACGGCUCACCAAGGCUUCGACGGGUAGCUGGUCUGAGAGGACGAUCAGCCACACUGGCACUGCGACACGGGCCAGACUCCUACGGGAGGCAGCAGUAAGGAAUAUUGCGCAAUGGGCGAAAGCCUGACGCAGCGACGCCGCGUGGGGGAUGAAGGUCUUCGGAUUGUAAACCCCUUUCGGGAGGGAAGAUGGAACGAGCAAUCGUUCGGACGGUACCUCCAGAAGCAGCCACGGCUAACUUCGUGCCAGCCGCCGCUGUAAC